AGAAGAGACAGCUAUCGAGGUUAAAGGUACCCGUACCGCACACCGACACAGGUGGGUGAGGAGAAUAUCCUAAGGCCAGCGAGAGAACUGUUGUUAAGGAACUCGGCAAAAUGACCCCGUAACUUAGGGAUAAGGGGUGCCACCAUCCGGUGGCCGCAGAGAAUAGGCCCAAGCGACUGUUUACCAAAAACAUAGGUUUCUGCUAAGUCGCAAGACGAUGUCUAGGAGCUGACGCCUGCCCGGUGCUGGAAGGUUAAGUGGAUCUGUUAGAGCAAUCGAAGCAGUGCACUUAAGCCCCAGUAAACGGCGGCCGUACCUAUAACGGUCCUAAGGUAGCGAAAUUCCUUGUCGUGUCAGCUCCGACCCGCACGCAACGCGUAACUAUUUGGGCACUGUCUCAACCACAGCCUCGGUGAAA
rnacentral:rRNA from 1 species